rnacentral:misc_RNA from 1 species
GAUGAAGAACGUAGCGAAAUGCGAUAACUAAUGUGAAUUGCAGAAUUCCGUGAAUCAUCGAGUCUUUGAACGCACAUUGCGCCCCCUGGUAUUCCGGGGGACAUGCCUGUCCGAGCGUCAUUGCUGCCCAUCAAGCACGGCUUGUGUGUUGGGUCCUCGUCCCCCCCGGGGGACGUGCCCGAAAGGCAGCGGCGGCACCGCGUCCGGUCCUCGAGCGUAUGGGGCUUUGUCACCCGCUCUGCAGGCCCGGCCGGCGCUGGCCGACGCGAAAGCAACCAUUUUUUCUCCAGGUUGACCUCGGAUCAGGUAGGGAUACCCGCUGAACUUAAGCAUAUCAAUAAGCGGAGGA